rnacentral:rRNA from 1 species
AUUGAACGCUGGCGGCAUGCCUUACACAUGCAAGUCGAACGGUGAACGAGGGAGCUUGCUCCCUCCGGAUCAGUGGCGAACGGGUGAGUAACACGUGAGCAAUCUGCCCUGGACUCUGGGAUAAGCGUUGGAAACGACGUCUAAUACCGGAUACGAGACGCGAAGGCAUCCUCAGCGUCUGGACAGAACUUCGGUCCAGGAUGAGCUCGCGGCCUAUCAGGUAGUUGGUGAGGUAACGGCACACCAAGCCUACGACGGGUAGCCGGCCUGCGAGGGUGACCGGCCACACUGGGACUGGGACACGGCCCAGAAUCCUACGGGAGGCAGCAGUGGGGAAUAUUGCACAAUGGGCGCAAGCCUGAUGCAGCAACGCCGCGUGAGGGACGACGGCCUUCGGGUUGUAAACCUCUUUUAGCAGGGAAGAAGCGAAAGUGACGGUACCUGCAGAAAAAGCACCGGCUAACUACGUGCCAGCCGCCGCGGUAACAC